CCGGGCGGUUGGCGUUUCUUUGCCGGUUAGAUCUUUCCAGCUCAGUAGCUACAUUCGGGUGCAAACUUUCCACGCUUCUCACUACAAAGUAUUUGGUUUAACAGGCUUUCAUGGGUGCAGUAAAAUGCCAACACGUCACUGAGCAUGCAUGACACUGACACAGCUCCUUCAAAAAGAUGAAAAAUCACAGCUUCCAUGUGGGUUUUAUACUAUCAACAUAAUAUCCAAGCACCUUCCCACAUAAAAUCAAUAGAAGCAGCAAAGUCCCUUGUGGAUUUAAUGGAGUUUCUGGCACUUCUCCCUUUUGGGAAUAAAAACACUACUUGAGGUACGCACCUUUUGAGGAGUCCACAUUCUGCGUUGGCUGCCAGUUCACUUCCUGGUGAAAUGCCUGGUACUGGUUGUUAUGUCUCCCAAAAGCCAAAAAUGCCUUUUAAUUAACAACAGUGACUCUAAUGGGAUCAGAAUUACAAUAAGAAGGAAAAUAAAGUAACAACAAGAAUGGAUCAAGUUGGCACAAUGAGAGAAUCCUUAUUUCCAAGUGUCAUGCAGCACCACUUCUCUCUUGGGUUCAGUCUCCAGCCUUAGUUUUGCAGUCUACAGCCUAGAAAGUUUUCAAAAAUGCUCAACAACUCAGCUCCCAGUGACAGGGCUGCCACCUCUCCCUUUUUGUUUGAGUGGCUGUCCCAGGACUUCUUUAAGUGUAAUCAGAACACACCGCCAGUUGUCCAGUUUUAUGGGCUCAGGAUCAUCCCAGAUGUCUCUCUUUUGUAUCUCAGAGGGGGCCAUUGUACUCAAUAAAGUCAAUAGGAGUUCUGACUUCAGUAGAAGCAGUUAAGUCAAUUCUGAACACUUUCGAAAGUCCCACCGCAAAGGUGCAGUAACCACACUUCGUUUAUGUCUACACUGCAAUUGGGAAGUGUGAUUGCAGCACAUGUAUACAUAUCCUAGCUCUAGUAACAAUAGCAGUGAAGCUAUGGCAGCGUGGGCAAUCCUGCCUGCUUCGGACCUAGGGUACAUACUUGAGCACUAUGCAGUUUAUACUGCUAUAAAGAUGAACUCUCUGCUCAAUCUCUGCAUUUGCAUUUGGGAGGAACCUUUCAGCUAUCUGUCCUAAAAGUGGAGCCUGUGGAGGGUUAGAGCUCUGAGUCCUCCAGUUCCUACAGAGGACUAUAAUAUGUUGGUUAGGAUGCUUCAGGGUUACCUUCCUGAGAACUCUUGCACCUGUUGUAAAUGCAUGAGUCUCUUUAUGCUACUUGUUCCUUCCUCCACCACAAUAUUACAGGAGCCAGGGGCAAGGUAUGGUCAGGACCCUCGAGAUUUUGCUGUACCUGGAAGUAUACCUGAGCUCAAGCCUGGCUGCUUUUAGAUCAUUCUUUAAGCACCUUUUUUGUUAGCCUUUCUCCUCACCAUAGGUUUCUGGAAAACCUCUGGCAUUUAGUCUCUUGGCAGGUAUUCCCUUUCAGCUGAUCCUUUCGGGAUAGCUGGUAUAUGCUCCCUGUUUUGAGGAAUGUAUUUUGAAUUCCUGAUUUAAAGUAUGUAAAGUGUACCCAGACGUUGUAAUAAGAGUAAUAAAACUAUAAGGUCACCACGAUUUAGCACUUGGAUAUUGAAUUGUUCAGAUUGCACUCAUGUCAUUUUUCUGGGUGUUUUUAAGCUACUAUUACAGGUGGCUCUGCUUACUUAUAAACCAUAUUAAAAACGGAGUGGUGAUGACUAGCCAGAUUGAAAUUAGGAAGAAUCUGCAAUAUUUAUACGAGUCCUUUGUAAUUAUAUUUAUUUCAGUGUUUCUGUGUAUGAUUCAAGGUUCCUAAGAGAACCUGGUCUGGACAGAAUGCUUGUAAGUAAAUAACAUUAACUGGAUCUAUCACGUUCUCAUCUCCAUAUUCUUGCUUUCUAAAGUUCUCUCACAAUCGCUGCAUCUCCCAUCUACCUUGUCUUCUUUCUGAUUGUUCAGAGGAUAUCAUGGAUUAACUAGAGUAGACUCUCCUGAUCUAUUACCUCUCAAAUACCCUUCAACUGAUGCUGACAAAAGUAAAUAUUUGAACUUUCUGGAAGUGAUUGGUACUGGCUCCUCAAAUGGUUAUUUUGUUAUUUGGCUUUUUCAUGAGAGGGGCAUAAAAAAAUGAUUACUGUCAGCCUGAAGAAUGCUAAAUAACUUUAUAUCCUUCUCCUUAGGUGAAACCUGCUCUUUCCCAUUCUGCCCUCAUGCCAAAUUAUGACUUUGUCUUGCUGAUCUGUCAUAGAUUUUUUCAGAUUUACCAUCUCUCAAGAUGAAGGUGCCUUUUCUUACUCAGAAUAGCUCCCAAAAAUGAGAAUAAAAAAUCUGUCUGAAUAGGUCUUAUGGAAAUGCAAUACUACGAACAUUUAACAUUUGUACAAGUGAGCAUACAUAAGCAACUGUUCAAUGUGUGUUUCUUGUCCCCUCUCUGUGCUGGGCCUACAAAGGAUAGGCAUGUGCUACCCGUGUCAGGUAAAGGAUUAGCUCUUUAGCUCAAGCCAUAGAAGCAGCUCUCGAGGUCCGAGGUACAAUCCCUGUUGACAACCCAGUUGGCAGUUGUUGCACAUACACAUGUGACAUUAUUAAUUCUCAUUCUUAGUUUUUAAAAAUGCAUGAGUGACUUUUCAGAACAAAUAUAGUGAAAGGGCUCAGAAAUUCUGAGAGCUAAUUCUAUACAUGAUGAAACAACUAGAGUAAUAAAUAAUAAAGGAGAUGGAGUUAGAAAAGACAAAGGUUACACUAAUGAGAUCAUGCAUUUGCUCGGGUAUGGAAUGUGUAUCUUUUGGCGGAUGCAUCAUUUUUAUUGGUUAAUUAAUUCACUCUUUGUAGGCUUUGAGGAGGAAAUGGAAUAAAGAUAAGGUGAUGGCUUGUUGUGCAAGUUUGGGAGGGUAUUCCAUGCAUUGAGGGCAGCAUAGAAGAGAGAUGGAGACAGAGAGGGAGAUAUAAAACAUCUAUUUGGUAAACUAUUGUAUAAUUUCUUUAAUUAUUUUC